UGAAAAAUGGGGAUUUUGGGGGAAAAUGGGGGGUUUUUAUAAUGGAAAAUGGGGAUUUGGGGGAAAAUGGGGAUUUUUGAGAAUGAAAAAAUGGGGAUUUGGGGCAAAAAUGGGGAAUUUUGAGAAAUAAAAAUGGGAAUUUGUGGCAAAAAUGAGAUUUUUGAGAAAGGAAAAAUGGAGAUUUGGGGGGAAAAUGGGGAUUUUUGGGAAAUAAAAAUGUGCAUUUUGGGGGAUUUUUGUAAUGGAAAAUGGGGAUUUGGGGUGAAAAUGGGGAUUUUUGAGAAUGAAAAAUGGGGAUUUGGGGCAAAAAUGGGGAUUUCUGAGAAUAAAAAAGGGGGAUUUGGGUGUAAAAUGGGGAUUUUGAGAAUGAAAAAUGGGGAUUUGGGGCAAAAAUUUGGAUUUUGAGAAUGAAAAAUGGGGGGUUGGGGUAAAAAUGGGGGGGGGUGAGGAAUAAAAAUGUGCGUUUUGGGGAAAAAUGGUGGUUU
rnacentral:lncRNA from 1 species